rnacentral:rRNA from 1 species
AAACCAACAGGGAUUGCCUCAGUAACGGCGAGUGAAGCGGCAAAAGCUCAAAUUUGAAAUCUGGCCUCUGGUCCGAAUUGUAAUUUGAAGAAGCGACUUUGGUACCGGCUCUUGUCUAUGUUCCUUGGAACAGGACGUCACAGAGGGUGAGAAUCCCGUGCGAUGAGAUGUCCGGUGCUAUGUAAAGCGUUUUCGACGAGUCGAGUUGUUUGGGAAUGCAGCUCUAAGUGGGUGGUAAAUUCCAUCUAAAGCUAAAUAUUGGCGAGAGACCGAUAGCGAACAAGUACAGUGAUGGAAAGAUGAAAAGAACUUUGAAAAGAGAGUGAAAAAGUACGUGAAAUUGUUGAAAGGGAAGGGCUUGAGAUCAGACUUUGUAUUUCCAUGGCGCUCUUUCGGGGGUGUCCUCUGGGUUUACAGGGCCAGCAUGGGUUCUGCGGGCGAGAUAAGGACUUAGGAAUGUGGCUCCGCUUCGGGGGAGUGUUAUAGCCUGAGGUACUGGUCGCCACGCGGGACCGAGGACUGCGAAUCUAGGAUGCUGGCAUAAUGAUCUUAAGCCGC